rnacentral:lncRNA from 1 species
UGACUCAGAGCCGCGUUCACGGCCUACCGACGCCGCGAAUUACGUCCAGGUGUGCAAAAGGUAACAACGCGAGAGAACAGCGUGUCAACAAUUUUAUUAAAAUACUGAGAAAUAGGAGGAUUGAGAGCGAUAUAAACGGAGGACAACAUAUUCUGAAUCACAGCGCAUCACGACUUUUGAGGUGAGUAAAAGAGAAGAGAAACACGAAGACGCUGAGUGGAUGAUGCUAAUGCUAACAGGCUAACCGCGCUCGUGUUUAAGCCUAAUAUGCUAGUGAACAGGUACUGCUAACUGUUGUAGUACUUUAUCGUUUAUUAAAUCAAAAUGAUUGAAUUGGAGUUUAAGUUUUAAAUUUAAAAAUGUUUUUACACAAAUGUGGUCAAGUUUAACCAAAAAUGAACUCAAAUUCUGAUGAUUUAUUUGUUGUAUUUAAUGGUAAAGGCACCCACAGAGUCGAUGUUUGACACAUUUAUACUCUGUACGUUUCACCUACAGGUCCGUCAGGUACCAGCUGAGACGGCUGGUCAUUUACGAAGUUCCUGGUCCCAGGCAGUGAUCGGACGUUUACAGGAUGUUGAAAACCAUUUGACCAAUUGCAAACGAGGCCCCUCAUAUCACAGGUAAUGUGACUGGUUCAUUUUGCGUGUCGAUUUUCAAAAUAAAAGCACGACAAAAACACAGCGCUUUGUGGGUUGUAUCAGGUGGUAGUUUGGUUCGUGCGUUUGUAGCAGAGUUUGGAGUAUAAUCAGCAGUGGUAGUUGUUGAAAGUAGAGGGUUAGUUGCAGUAGAAGUAGUAGUAGAAUUAGUAGUAGAAGUAGUAGGAGUAGUUUAAUGGGGCAAGCAAGAAAGAGAAGAACUGAUGACCCCCUCCACUCCCUGCCCCCCUCCCAACAUACAGUACUGUCACCCAAACACUUCACUUCCAACACACAACACCACCUAAUGUGUUUAAUCAAUAAUGAAAACUGAUAGACAUGAAAUGCACAAAUAGAAAAUAUUGAUUAGGAAUAAUAAGGGAGAGCAGUUAUAUCAAGACUUUAUUGUUAUUGUACCGGGAUUAAACACUUCUUUGAUUCUUCUGGUGCGUUCACUGACCUGCUGGAGCCAUGACCAUCAUCCAAACCAGCAACGUACAAAUAUCAACAUAAAAGUGGAUGAUUUUUAAGGUCCCCAAAUAAACAUAAACUAAAACAAAUAAAGUGUAUUUGAGAAACCAGAAGAGUUUCAGUGUCAUGACCCUCAGAGGUCACAUUUUCAGUGGUUUAAUAAUUCAUACGGUCAUUCUGGUGUUCCUGAACGUAACUCUGCACAGAGGGAUCUUUAAUGUAACUUUCCUUUACGAGACAGUAAAUUUAUAGGUUUGGUUUACAUCGUGUUUUAACAGAUCAUCUCUCUCCAUAUGUAACACACACGUUUCUCUGAGCUGCUGAAAUACCCCAGAGUAACUCAUCCCAGAAAAUAAAUGAGAUUUUAUUCAAACAAAACACAGAUUUCUGGUAAAACAACAGAGAAAUACUUCACUGUGUUCAUGCGUCGUGCUGAACAGGAAACACGGUUGUCAUGAGGAAUCUUGACACAACUCUCAUAUUUGCGAACAGAAACACAACAGGUGGGCGGCAGCAGCUGUUCACAGGAUGAGCCGUGUUAACGUAAAUAUGAUCAGACCUGAAGACAUCAGACCGACAUCUGUCUGAGCAAAGACACUGUGAGCUCCACAACAGCUACAGAGAUACAGAUGAUGACUAGGUGAUAAAAACAAGUAUGAUUAUUAUUGUUACCAGAUCAUAUCAGACUUUAGUGACGCUCUGUCAUGGAGCUGCCUGCUCCUCCUGAAACCACACCCUCCUGCUCACACCUGUAACAUGUUUGCUAAUCACCUGCCAGUCCUUAAACCAGUCAGUCUGAGCUGUUUUUGUCAGUUCGUAGUUUGUGCUUCUGUCUGCUUCGUAUCGAGCCUGCCGGUAUUUUCAACUCUGCCUGUUCUCAGGUUUGGAUUUUGCCCUCUGACUCUGUACUUCUGCCUGGUUGGACUGGAUUUCUUUCUUUCUUUUUCUUUCUCUUUUUCUUUCUUCUCAAACUUUAAGAACAAUAACAAAACUAGAAACAAAAACAUGGAACAAAAUAAUACAUCUGUACACCAAACAACUGAACAUGUCAAAGAUAAAUUUACACACACACAUGUAUGUCAAAAUAAAGUUUGAGAAGGAACAGAAUGAAGCAGAGAGAUUAUCUAGUCCUGCCCCUUCCUUUCAAAUUAGAGAUUAAAAAGAAAUCUAAUAAUAUAAAUUACAAAGAUCUGAAUAAAUACCUUCAUAUUCUACACAAAGAUAUCUGCUCAACACCACAUAGGUUACUUAUUAUACUUAUUUGCAUAUUAUAAUAGUUGUCAGUGUUAUAAUAUCCUGAAUUAAUAUUAUUUUUAAGCAAUCAAUUAUAUUUAUUAUAAAACCAACAAUUUGUUUUUUUGAUUUUGGGUUGGACUGUUACUCGCCCCUUUAGUACGCUGAUUAAAAUUCUGUUUUGGCGUUACAUCUGUCUCUGUUGUUCUGCACUUGGGUCUCUUCAGAACUGCGACAGUUUUCUAUAUUUAGACUCAUUUCUAUAUCAGUGUAAUGUGCUUUUACAUUCCCUUUAGUGAUUUUCAAACAGGAAAAAAUACAUAAACCACGAAAACAGAUUUAUAAUAAUCACGUUAAUUAACAAAAUCCUCAGAGUAAAGAUGAACCAAUUUGCGGUUCAUUUCUCUAAUGAUGACCUGAGAAUUGAGCGGAGCUAUGAGCACUUAAAAAAGUCCAUGAUAAUUAAAUAACUGACCCUUUUUCACUCAGAUGUGAGUCUUAAUGUCUGGAGAUAAUAUCAUCAUUAUCAAGUGUCCUUAUUAUAGAAAGAUAAUGAUGUGAUAAUUGUUUAUAUUCAAUAGUAAAAGUUUGCCCAUUAAGAGCAGGUACAUUUCAGUUUUCAAAAUGAUCAUUUAAAAUAGUUUUUAAAAAGUUUUAUGAUCGUAUUUUCAGAUGAAAAGACGCUCCCUUGUUUACUCCGUCUUUCAGAGAGGUUGUGGUAGCCUUUAAGGACAAGAAGCUCCGACGAUGCAUGUUGAAUACGAUUUUCUAUUUGUCACAUUUUUACCAUCAAAUGUCUUUUAAUACAAACUCUUUCACACACAAAAAACUCUCAAUUCUUCUAACCGAUGGAUCUUGUGAUCAUUUAUUGAAUUAAAAACAUGUCACAGGUUCUGUUGUAGAAACAUGGCGGCCUGAAUUGCCUAUCAGAAUUUAAAAUAAUCUUUUUUAUUUUCAUAAAAUAAGAAAACUGUUGGGAUUUUCCGACAGAAUACUAGGGCCACAGUAAGAAAAAAACAAAUAAGACUUUGAGAUUAAAGUCAAUAAUUUACAAGAAUAAGUCAUUACCUAAGAGAAUGAAGUCGUAAUCAACUAUUACUAUACUGAUGAUAAUGUGGUGCUGAUGUGCAAAGAGAUUAAAGUAUCUCCUUGUUUGAGAAAAAUAUAUUAAAGUAGAUUUUCACGAAAUGCUUCAUGGCUCUAAUUUCAACAACUGUCAUCUUAAACAGGUGAGAAUAUAAGGACUUUAUUCUGACUUUAUUCUCAUAAGUUAAUGAAUUUAAUCUCAAAGUCUUAAAUUAUUAUUUUUUUUAAUGUGGCCCUAAUACUGCGUCUUAGGAUUUAACAUUUGAUACAUCGUCUUUUUUUUUUACUAUUUUUAAGUAAAUUUAUUCUUUAAAUUAUUUGCAAAUUUCAAUCAUUGUAAACGUCAUUCUUAUUAUUUUAUUAAUUUAGUCUGUAUUUAAACUAACUGAUAGUUUCCCAGCAUCUCAGCUGUUGCAGUUCCCUCAGCGGCCACUGUGAGGCAGUCUCGACACACGUAUGAAGGGAGAAUCUGCAGAGAAACAAUCAGGCUGUUGUGAUUCUUGUUUACCAACCAUGGCUCCAGGGUCCAGCUGAGCCUGGCUGGAGUCAAUACUGAUAAUAAUAAUAAUAGUAAUAAUAAUAAUAGUAAUAGUUGUAGUGUUUUAAUGACGUCUGCUGGGGUUUGUAGUUUAUUUAAAAUUGUUCAGACUCUCUCUGUUCUCCUGCUCCUCUCUUUUAUUCUUCCCCUCUUCUCUCUCUCGGCUCGUUUCCUGCGGCUCUCUCCUUUGACAGGCAGGUGUGAGAGUGUGAACGGGCUGCCCCGGAGGGGGAUAGACACUGACCCCAAACCGUGAGUCUCCGGGCCCGAUCAGCCGGAGCCUGUUGUGGGUGCUCACGUCCGCAGACAGCGGAGAGAGCGGCCCCACGUCAGCCCUCAUCAGCUUUAUUUGAGAGGAUCCUUUCGCCUUAAUUAGCGCAGGAGGAGAAGGAGCGCCUCAUCUUGAAGGGCUGAUGGAGGGUGGGAGGGUGAAGGUGCUGCUGAGGUGUGGGUGGGGGUGUCUGCAGUUUGUCUUUUAGGGCACACAGUUCAAUUCGGGCUGUUCAACAGAGUUACGCUCAUGACUUCCUGAAGUGGGCCUGCUGGAGCUGGCUGUGAUGUCCGUUCUGUGUGGUUGUUAAGUGAAAUGUCAGCGGUGAACUCCUCAAACAGACGGAUCCUCAGACACGAUUUGAUGAAGGAUUUGAAACUGCAAUCACGGCCAAAGCCCUCCGCUGAAUCGCAGCAUCUCUGGACAAUAACAGGAGUCACUGUAUCCCCCCCACCAACACGCCAUCUGAGCUAAAACUGAAGGUCAUCUCCAUGGAAACUUUGCUGUUUAAAUUGGAGUAUGUUUAAUCCCAAUCCUCCGGCACCUGAAGACAUUAUCGCCGCAAAUCCCUCCGCCAGUCAUCAAAGCGAUGAGCUGGAUGCCCUUUAAGGCCGGCUCCAACCAGGCGGCUGCAGAAAACCGGUUUCUAGGGCUGCUCCUAAAAUACACCCGACAGACCUCAGACCUCCUGAAUGUCCCACAAACGGACGGAUCUGUGAUUGGUUUGUUUGCAGCGAGGGGAAGAGUGUUCUGCUGUUAUCGGAGAGGAUUUAUCCGUUUUGUUUUUUUAUUUUAGUGUCCGAGAAAGAUUGAAAUCCUCCAAAAAAACUCACCUGCUGUCACAUCAUGUUACCAUAAGUUUGUCAAUACCUGCCUGUUAGUGUUGGGCGGAAUGAACAAAUCUUAUAUCAUGGUAUGAGUAAUUUCAUAUCACGGUAACAGUAUAUAUCACAGUAUGUUUUUUUUUUCCCUGUAAAUUCAAUUAAUGUUUUAAAAAUAACCAAACUGUCUCAUUUGUUAAUUUUCCUUUUAUUGUCAGACCAGUCUGGCGAUGUUCUAUCAUAUGGCGUACCUUUGGCGAAAGACUCUGCCGAGCUCUUUUGUCUUAGAGGAGUUUUCAUCUUUAGGUUGUGGAAGAGGUUUCUGGUGUUUCCACCUCCAACAACGACAGCCACACGACACUCUUUGUAUAGUUUUAGUUUUUUGAUCACUGUCGGAUUUUCUAAAUCCGAAGAAUCUCCAGACAACCGAUGUCGUGACUCGCACCCUUUUUCGAAACGAGUUCCUCCUCUUACACGUUUGGUGGGUCGGGCUGCCUCCGUUUGUUCGGUACUGCCACUAAUCUCCGCCCCCGCCAUGACCACCACUAGUGAAGCUGUUUCUUCUUCACACGCUGGUGAUUAUAGGGAGCGCACCCGAACCUGACUAAUCAAACGGAGCGAACAAACUCCGCACGACACACUGGUGAAUAUACGGAAACGCACAAAACAUCUGCUCUCUCUCUCUCUCUCUCUCUCUUCGGUAUAAACUGUAAAGCAAAAUUUCUGCCUGUAGACACUUUUACACCGUCACACGGUGGUGGAGCCAUUCUUUAGUUCACCUGUGUGGCGCUGUGGAG